GCGAGAAUAGCUCAGUGGUAGAGCGCUUCCUUGCCAAGGAAGAGGCCGCGGGUUCGAAUCCCGUUUCUCGCUCAA
rnacentral:tRNA from 3 species